rnacentral:rRNA from 1 species
GAUGAACGCUGGCGGCGUGCCUAAUACAUGCAAGUCGAGCGAACAGACGAGGAUCUUGCUCGUUUGACGUUAGCGGCGGACGGGUGUGUAACACGUAGGUAACCUACCUAUAAGACUGGGAUAACUUCGGGAAACCGGCGCUAAUAGCGGAGAAUAUUUCGAUCCGCAUGGUUCGGUAGUGAAAGAGGGCUUUGGUAUCAGUUAUAGAUGGACCUGCGCCGUAUUAGCUAGUUGGUAAGGUCACGGCUUAGCAAGGCAACGAUACGUAGACGACCUGAGAGGGUGAUCGGCCACACUGGAACUGAGACACGGUCCAGACUCCUACGGUAGGCAGCAGUAGGGAAUCUUCCGCAAUGGGGGAAAGCCUGACGGAGCAACGCGGCGUGAGUGAUGAAGGUCCUCGGAUCGUAAAACUCUGUUAGUAGGGAAAAACAAACGUGUAAGUAACUGUGCACGUCUUGACGGUACCUAAUCAGAAAGCCACGGCUAACUACGUG